AUGCUGCGAGGAAAGUCCCCGUGCCUUGGUGCAGAGAGUGCAAGUGGGAGACCGCAGGGCCCAGGUGGGAUUGCAGGUGGCGAGGCCUCGCGCGGAGCCGCAGCACUUGGCUUGGGUCGGUCGCAGCAGCACAGACAUGCCGUGAGCGCCCGCAGACGGGGCGCCAACAGAACGGGCUCACUCC
rnacentral:RNase_MRP_RNA from 14 species